rnacentral:rRNA from 1 species
CCUACGGGUCGCAGCAGUGGGGAAUAUUGCACAAUGGGCGCAAGCCUGAUGCAGCCAUGCCGCGUGUGUGAAGAAGGCCUUCGUGUUGUAAAGCACUUUCAGCGGGGAGGAAGGCGGCGAGGUUAAUAACCUCAUCGAUUGACGUUACCCGCAGAAGAAGCACCGGCUAGCUCCGUGCCAGCAGCCGCGGUAAUACGGAGGGUGCAAGCGUUAAUCGGAAUUACUGGGCGUAAAGCGCACGCAGGCGGUCUGUCAAGUCGGAUGUGAAAUCCCCGGGCUCUACCUGGGAACUGCAUUCGAAACUGGCAGGCUAGAGUCUUGUAGAGGGGGGUAGAAUUCCAGGUGUAGCGGUGAAAUGCGUAAAGAUCUGGAGGAAUACCGGUGGCGAAGGCGGCCCCCUGGACAAAGACUGACGCUCAGGCGCGAAAGCGUGGGGAGCAAACAGGAUUAGAUACCCGAGUAGUC